rnacentral:rRNA from 1 species
UACGUAGGGGGCAAGCGUUGUCCGGAUUUGUUGGGCGUAAAGCGCUCGCAGGCGGCUUGAUACGUCGUGCGUGAAACACCCCGGCUCAACUGGGGAGGGUCGUGCGAUACGGUCAGGCUUGAGGCCAGUAGGGGGAUGCGGAAUUCCAGGUGUAGCGGUGAAAUGCGUAGAUAUCGUGAGGAAGACCAGUGGCGAAGGCGGAUCUCUGGAGAGUUCCUGACGCUGAGGCACGAAGGCCAGGGGAGCAAACGGG